UGGAUGAAGAAAUUACAAUGGCUUGACAUUGCGACAGGGCGGAAGAUCGCCAAGGAGCCAGAGCCUCAUGGAUUGUCAGACCAGGUCAGAGAGCUGGCUACAACAACCGCCACGAGGAAGAAAGCCGCGGACAGUGAGAGCGUGGAGGGGAGCUCCGCCCCCUGCACAGUGGCUGAGGGUGAGCUGAAAAGGGAUUUGGGAGAAUGCAAAGUGGAUGAAAACUUAAUUGACUUGUUUACCGACCUGCCCCCUUUCCUUCCUCCUCCAUCUGUGAACUCUGUCCCUCCCGUUCCUGAGUAUAGCCCAAAGAAAGUUCCUGUUCCCAUGUCUAGCCCAGAGAAGGCUCCUGUUCCCACAUCCAGCCCUGAGAGGGUUCCUGGUCCCAAGUUAAGCCCAGAGGCUGACAAAUGCCCACCCACCCACCCUCUCCUGUCUCCUCCACCGCUGACAACUGACUGCCCCUCUGCUUGGCCUCAGCCCACCAUCAGUAUGGUGAGAGCUCUGCAGGUAUGCCAUCCUCCGUCAUCACAGUGGCUCCAGAAUCCCUGGUGUCUGCCUCCAGCCUCUGAGACCCAGACUCCGCCUCGGCCCAUUGACUCAGCGGCUCCACCAUGGCUCCUAGCUCCCUCCUCUUCACCGUGGCCCAUCAGUCCAUUGGCUCCGUCUGGCUCCCUUGUCCUUCCGGCUCCGCCUUGGUCUGUUGUCAACCAUCCAUCGGCUCGGGACUCCACUCCUCCGGCUGCAUCUCGUCCCUCCGGCCCUGUCAGGCUCCUCCAACCCUUCGGCUCCUCUUUGAUCCUCUGUUGCUGCGGCUCCACCGUGGACUUCUGGAUCCCCACCUCCGCCUUGGUCGCCGGAGCAAUCUGCUCUAGUUUGGCCCUCCAGACCCUCCCCCGUGCCCUGGUUCAUUGGCUCUCUGCCUCGGGCUCCUCUGCUACCUGGUCUGCCGCUGUUGGUCGGCCCCCUGGAGUAGUCAGCACUUCCUCCACCAUGGCUCCUCACUCCGUCGGCUCCACCGUGGGUUGCCAUUAUGGCUGUGGCCUAGGUCCCACCUCGCACUGCCUGGUCCAAGUCUCUACUGUCUCCUCCUUGGCGCCUCCCUCCAUCGGCACCUCCCUGGACUCUGUCUGCCAGCCCCCUCCCGGGUGUCCGUCCUCCUCCUGAGCCUCGUCCCAGUUCCAACCCAUCCCUCCCUACCUCCCUCUGGCACAAGGAUGUCUAGUCAAAGACUAGAAUCUGCUCCAGUCGAUUUAAACAGUCUUUAAGUGUGCUGAGGUCAGUCUUUAAGCGAUUUUUAUUUUUUUUGCAAAACAAUGUUGAUAUUUGAAAGCACCAAAACAAGCAUGCCCAUACCCCAACAGUACCUCACCCCUAUUUUGAUAAAAUACUGUACGUAUGCCCCACAUGUACAUACACAACCCUGGCAGCGAAAAUGUAAUACUGAUUUUAUACAAGUUUAAUAAAGUUAAA
ensembl:lncRNA